UACCAGCACCCCGAGUGGUCGGGACGAUUAUUGGGCCUAAAGCAUCCGUAGCCGGUUCUGCAAGUCCCCCGUUAAAUCCAGCUGCUCAACAGAUGGGCCGCGGAGGAUACUCCAGAGCUAGGAGGCAGGAGAGGCAAGCGGUACUCAGUGGGUAGGGGUAAAAUCCGUUGAUCCAUUGAAGACCACCAGUGGCGAAGGCGGCUUGCCAGAAUGCGCUCGACGGUGAGGUGCGAAAGC
rnacentral:rRNA from 1 species